AGCUUUGCGCAGUGGCAGUAUCGUAGCCAAUGAGGUUUAUCCGAGGCGCGAUUAUUGCUAAUUGAAAACUUUUCUCAAAAUGGAAUAUGUAUUUAUUUAUUUAUUUUGGUACCAGGGAUUGAACU
rfam:Fukomys damarensis contig93113, whole genome shotgun sequence.